rnacentral:lncRNA from 1 species
AGAAUCUGGAGUCAGCUGGAGUGUGCCAGCAGCAAGAUGGCCCUUACCAGAUGCUGGCACCUUGAUAUUUGACUUCCCAGCCUCCAGAACUGUGAGAAACAAAUUUAUUUUCUUUAUAAAUUACUCAGAUUGUGGUGUUCUGUUACAGCAACACAAAAUGGACUAUGUGAAGAAAACCAUGUUGGAAUCUUGUGCUGUCAUUGAUAAGAAAGGAUCUGAGCAUUAGGUCAAUCACCAAAAAACUGAAAAAUCAGUAACAAUGAUGACAGACUCUUCAAAUAGGAUGAUUUAAAUUUUAGGAAAUUGGAAGAAGACUCCAAGAAACUUAACAAGGUCCUCCAAUAUUUUCCCCAAAAUGAUCUUCUCUGAUUUGACUAUGCUUGUUCCUCCAUAUCUCCCUGAUCCCUAGACUUCUUCUGUCCUCUAUCCACAUUCUCUCCCAAGGUGGGUCAUCUAGUUUCAUGACUUUAAAUCCUCCCUUAAACUGUUGGUUCUCAAAUAUGCACUUGUCACUUCUCUCCUAAACUCCAGACUCAUGUAUUCAGCUACCUACUUGACACUUCUGUGUGGAUGUCUAGUAGGUAAUAAUCUUAGAAUUAUUGUGCCCUGUCAAAUUCCUGCUCUUCCCUCUAAAAUAUCUUAAUACUAUUCAGUCUUCCCCAUUUCUGUUUAUCUCAGUUCCUUUUCAGGUCAAAAACCUGAGUUAUCUUUGAUUCCUCUCUUUCUCUCACAUUCUAGUAGUCCAGUUCCUUUCAUAAUCAGAUCAAUUAGUAAGCCCUAUCAGCUCCAUUUUUAAAAUGUAACUAGGAUCC